CAUUUUUUAUAUAAAUCUUGACGAUUAUGGCUUACAGCUCAUGGAAAUAAAAAAUCCAGUAUCUCAAAAUAUUACAAUAAAGAAUUUAUAAUACAGCAAUGUCGACCUGCUUAACUUAACCACUGGUGUCUUCAGUGCCCAAAUGCUUAAGUGUUAUUAAUAGAUAUAAUAUAUCUAUAUAUCUUAUAUAUUUAUAAUAUAAAAGUGAUGUUACACAGUGGUAAACAGUCAACUGUCCCAACAUUUUGGAGUGUGUUGCAGUCCAUAAACAUGGUUACAUAAAAACCACGACUUGGUGGCGCUCAAGCACAAAACUGUCUUGCGGGGCACACAUAGAUACCUGAAGAUGAAGAAGACAAAGAAAUGCAAGCAUAUAUUCUAAGUGAUCCAUUUCAGUGUUGCUUUCUAUACUAAAUAACAUUAUUUGUUUCUUUGUCUCUUCCUGCAAAUGUUUCACAUCUAUAGUAAUAGCUCAAUAGUAAUCUGCUGCUUGAUAGACCAUUGUCUUUAUUUUCCACCUGGCAUAUAUCUGCAUGUAAGUAUUCUUGUCCUCUUAUUCAAAUAGCUAGGUGCCCCAUUAUUGUGUCCCUGUAUUUGCCACAAAAAGGCUGUUCAUAGUCAACACUUCAUCAAUCUGCAGGAACAUUAACAUUUUUGGGCACAACAAUAGUUGCCUUAUACCCACCCACCCCCUCCCCCCAAAAAAAUCUGAUUUAAAAAAUACAAUAAUUUGAGUAUUCCCAUAAGUAUGUGAAUGCUAUUUCUGUGACUUUGAUAUAAUUGAAAUCAUUACUUAUUUAAAAAGAGUAUAUUGUUUAAAACUUUAGCUUUAGGAUUUAGCUUUAAAGAAGUAUUUGUUACAGUGGCCAAAUCACCAAAUACCUUACAUUUUGCAAAAGUGCAUAUGUGCGUUAACUUUGAUAGAACAUGUUAUCAAAAAUAUUAUAUAUCAGUUGCUGUCGUGAGUGCUGGUGCUUAUAUAUUAUGUAUUUAAUUGAUGAAAUAAAACCAAACACUUGGCGGCCAUAGAUAUGAUUCAGUUUUAUUCAAGUUCACAGAGAAAUUGUAAGUAAAGAGAAAAAAUACAUACAAUAAGCUGUUUUCAAAAUGGUAAAAUGAUGUAUGUCACACAAAUUAACAGUAUUGCUUCAUUAGUUCUCCAGACCAUGGUUCACAUACUGCCAAGCAACUUCUCCUGCUGAUUUGAGCAACUGCAUUAGAAAUGAAGGUCACUGUAUGUGAAAUAUCUAUUGCAUCUACACCUGAGUGCACAUUCUACCUCAAGUUAGAAUGGGCCAAAGACCUGGGAGCUGGUUUUGUUGUUAUGCUCUGUGAUGGUGCCUCUGCUUGGAGUGGUGAAGUAUCAGAGGAGGAUGUCAGCAAGGAGGCCCAGGAGUUGGAGAUGCCAAGAGAGAGGUAUGUUCAUGACCUGCAGCUGAUUCUGUCUGGUGAGGGACAAGCAGACCAGAGCUACAGCUUUCAUCUGGCACCUAAGCAAUCCGGAAGCCCGAUUUUACAGCUAUCUUAUGAGAAAGUGCAGCGUGACAUGUCGUUCAGGUAUGGAAUGGUGGAACUGCUACCUGUGUCAGAGCCCACUAAAGUCAUAAAGGAACUCAUUAGUUAUGGCUUAGAGCGCAGUGCUCACCUGCAAGCCAAGAAACACAUCGUGCUCAAGCAGAACCAGAGACUGAUUAAUGAACAGGAACACAUCACUACAGAAAUGGAGAGAUAUAUCAAAGAAAAGGAGACAUUGGAGCGCGAGCUGUACAACCGCUUUGUGCUGGUCCUUAAUGAGAAGAAGGCCAAGAUCCGCACUUUACAGGAGAGGAUCAAACAGCUACAGAAUACUAUACAAGACAAAAAGGAUGGAUGGAAGAAAGGUGAAGCCUGUCAUGGAGGAAAUGAACAUACAGAUGAGAAACUUGAAAAUAGUGACUAUGGAAACACCACAGAUGAGGAAGAGGAAGAGGAUGGGGAUCCAAAAACUCGGAAUCUGAAACCCAGCAAUAAAGUGCUGGCAAGCAACCCAAUGGAUGGCAGUCUAAAUGACAUUGCGGAUGUGGCACCAAGCAGAAAACGGCGUCGGCAUGUUAUUCAACCCUUGGAAACCCCAUCAAAAGGACCAGCUCUGGAGCAGAGACAGACCUUAAGACACCUUUGAUGGAAAACAGACCCCCUCCCAAAACCAACAGCAAAUGAAGCAAAUAGUUCAAGAGAAAAAAAAUGGCAAGUGUUGUGUUUGAACAAGUUUCAAACACUGUACGCCAAGAGAGUGAAAAUGUGGUGGAGGACUUGACACCUGAGCAAGUGAUGUGGAAUACCGAGAUUGAAGCCCUGAGGAGGAAGCUCUGUGUCUACAAUGAGGCAUAUGCAAUCGCAAAAGCAGCUCUUGCAUAUUUAAAAAUGACACAUAUCGGGCUCGUCCAGUCCCCCACAGUUGUUGUGAGGUAUAAGACGGGUGCACAAAGUAACUCAACUGUGCCCGGCUCCCAACAUCACGCUGUCAAACUGAGGUCACUGCUAGCCUGAGUAGAGAUUCAGAAAAUAGGCAAACACCAUCUUCUGUCGUCAACACAGGUCACACCGAUAACACCAGCUGGAAGUUGCCAUCCCAAACUCCAAUUUUCUUGUCCCUCACCAGAGCAGCUAGAGAUCCUAAUGAUUUAUUCGGGUAUGGCCGGAUCGAUAUGGUUGCUUGCUAUUCCGUGCCAUUUUACCAGAACAGAGGUAUAAAGAGUAGGCAUCGACCAUCAACUGUGAUAGUCAGAGAGGCAAAUCUGCAUUGCCCAUGAACCUAAGGCACUUUAUCUUGAAGACUGUUUCCCAGAGAUUCCCCUACUUGACCAACGUUGACAAAAAGUGCACCAAAAAGAGUCAACAAGUUCUUAUACUCCCCAAGGAAUGCUGUUGUCCACAGAUGCCUGCAUUUUUAACCAACAUUCACAAUAUUUUUACUUUGGAAAAAGACAGUUUGAUUUAAUGUUGCUAUUUUUUCUUUGUAUGAAUAAAUUUAAUUAAACCUAAUUAUGUCUUUCUUUCCUUAAGACACUUAAGGAAUAAACAGAGUUCAUUGUCCAAGA